rnacentral:lncRNA from 1 species
AGCUGAUGGUUGAGAGUCAACAUUAGGGUUUUACUUCAGACGUAAGCUAAACAUGGCCCUCUCCCUUACAUACUAUUAACAUCUUGCUAAGAGAGUGUUUCCUGUUCACAGCAUGUACUGGAAUGAAUCUUGUUGAGCGACUCAUAAUCCAGGACUGAAGUUCCUCUGUGUAUCUGUAAAUUAAACUGCAAAAUGAAGAAGGAAGAAACUUAGCAUAGGGUUAUAUGUAAUGACAACUUGUCAAUGGGGAGGGAAUAGAAGCUUCAUCUACAAUUUAACAGCAGUUUUCCAGUGAAGCUCUCUUCCCAGGACAGGCAAGAGUAUCUAAUAAGGGAGCAGGAAUGGAGAUGGCAGGAGGCAGAGGAGAAGAGAAAACUCCUGAUGAAGAAAGAAGGAAGAAGCAAGCAGAAAUGUUUCAAGAAUCCAGGAAGCAGGAUAAUCUCUUCCAGGAUCUACGGAGGCCUUAUGUCAUUGAUUUCCAGGUUAUCUACCGCCUACAGAGAGCAGCUCUCAGAUUAUUCAUCAUGAAGGAGUGACCACAAAGGCUUAAAUAACUGCAGCACGGACUUCAGCAGACUCUAAUAUCUGGCAUAAGCCUUCUGUGAGCCAAUGAUUGGAAGGAACAUCGAAGACCAUCAAGUCCAUGUCCCAGCUGAAAAAAAGAGGCCAUCCACCAUAAAAUGAGAGAGAGACAGAGAGAGGGAGAGAAAGGAAAGGAGGGAGGGAGAGAGGGAGAGGGAGAGAGAGAGAGAUAGCGCUCAUCUAGCCUCUACCUGCAGAUCUUCAGUGAUGGGGAACCCAUGACCUCCCAAGUCAGCCCAUCGCACUUCUAGAAAGCUCCAAAUAAAGAAGUGUAUCCUUUUCA